AUUUAUAUAGUUUAAUAUUAUUAAAACAUUACAUUUUCAUUGUAAAGAUAGUGAUAAAAUAAACUUAUAAAUU
rnacentral:tRNA from 1 species